rnacentral:rRNA from 1 species
UACGGAGGGUGCUAGCGUUGUUCGGAAUUACUGGGCGUAAAGCGCACGUAGGCGGCCUGUUAAGUCGGGGGUGAAAUCCUGGGGCUCAACCUCAGAAUUGCCUCCGAUACUGGCAGUCUCGAGUGCGGGAGAGGUGAGUGGAAUUCCCAGUGUAGAGGUGAAAUUCGUAGAUAUUGGGAAGAACACCAGUGGCGAAGGCGGCUCACUGGCCCGUAACUGACGCUGAGGUGCGAAAGCGUGGGGAGCGAACAGG